AUUGAACGCUGGCGGUAUGCUUAACACAUGCAAGUCGAACGAUGAGAAAGAGCUUGCUCUUUCGAUUAGUGGCGGACGGGUGCGUAACGCGUAGGAAUCUACCUAUUAGUGGGGGACAACUUAGGGAAACUUAAGCUAAUACCGCAUACACCCUACGGGGGAAAGAAGGGGAUCGCAAGACCUUUUGCUAAUAGAUGAGCCUGCGUAGGAUUAGCUAGUUGGUGGGGUAAAAGCUCACCAAGGCGACGAUCCUUAACUGGUUUGAGAGAAUGAUCAGUCACACUGGAACUGAGACACGGUCCAGACUCCGACGGGAGGCAGCAGUGGGGAAUAUUGGACAAUGGGCGAAAGCCUGAUCCAGCAAUACCGCGUGUGUGAAGAAGGCCUUAGGGUUGUAAAGCACUUUAAGUUGGGAGGAAGGGCAUUAACCUAAUACGUUAGUGUUUUGACGUUACCAACAGAAUAAGCACCGGCUAACUUCGUGCCAGCCGCCGCAGUAACAC
rnacentral:rRNA from 1 species